rnacentral:lncRNA from 1 species
GGGGUUUUUGGUCGGAAGAUGAGAAGAGAUCUCAGAUGCAGACAUGGGAGAACAGUUCCUGGCCAUGAUCUCUAGAAGAUCGAGCUCUAUAGCUGAUUUUAAAGCCAUAGGGAGAACAGAGGCACUGGCUAACUGUAUGGCAAAGAGAGCAGUUUCGUCGUCGGUGACUUGCACUGGAGUUGACUGUGUCUGUGCCGUUGAGCCCAUUUUCGUGAAAUUUCUGAGAUUUUAGAAUGCUUUGUUUUUGGGUUUCGAUGUGUGAUAUGUUAGAAGUGGUCUAUUAUAUAGGAAAUAUGCAUGGGUUUAGGUUUCGCAACAUGUCGUGCUGUAACGUAUGUCCAGUAAUUACUUAAUAUGAGAUUUGUUAUGUGUGUGCGUGUGCUCUUGUUGGAAAUGCAUUUGCUUAGCUAAAUUAUUGUUUGCUGAGGGGUUCCAGUACGUACCUCGAUAAAACGGGGCAUAUUUACAGUGUCAUGAGUCGAUUUCAACGUUCAGAAAGCAUAAAACACAUUAUUGAUCCCAAGCCGGGACGGCCUGCAAGUCAUGUUGUUUGAAUAAUUAACUUGGGGAAAGAAUGAUAUCUAUAUAUUAACCACAUGAGUUUUAUAGACUGAAACGAAUGUAAUGUUUAAUCAUGUCAUGCCCAAAUCUGGACCUAGUCCCAAGUCCCAACUUGCAAGCUUCAAUAUACCUUAGGCUUUUUGCCACAUCAGUCUCAAAUCACAUAUAUAGAGGAUUGUUUUAUAUUAUUCUUAUAAAUAAAAACACAAGUACAAUUUAUUGAUAAACAGCUCGCACGGCAACCAUGAUUAAGCAUCAUAGUUUAAGACUUUAAAUCGAAAAAGAUCACAUGAGUACAACAAUUAAGCUGGUGGUAAAUUAGUAUUAAACUAAAUAAUCGGUUAUUAGUUUUCCCCCGGUAAAAAAAGCAGCAUUAGUUUUCUCAAUAUAAUUCUUAAACUUAAAUAGUAUUAAUUUCGGAUUUGUAACUCUUUGAACAGAGUUAGAUAAAUCAUUUACAACGGAGGGAAUAACCAUUGUGUUUUCUUUAUACAACGUAAACUGAUCUUGAUUGUGGCCACACGUAAUAUUAGAUCGAUAAAUGGACGCUCUAAAAGCAAGUGAUGGUAUGGCCAUCUUAUUGAUGACCAAUCCAACAUAGUACCCCGUACUUUGAAUUUAUGCCUUUUUAUCUAUUUUUAUUUAUAUAUUAUUUUUCCUAUAAUUUAUUGUAAAAUUAUUUUGUUCUCCAGUCUGUUUAAUCGUUGUAACAAAUGAUAUGACCGGUAUAAUUUUGGUGCAGUGACAAAUUAAGGUCUUUGCACUGUGUGGAUCUCACUUAUGUAUAUUAUUAUUAAGUACAUCAACCAAGAAGCAUAACUUAUAAAAAUUAUAUAUAUUAUGUCGUAUUAUAUGUUUAGCAUAAUAAGAUAUAUCAACAGAACUGAUAUGAUAAUUUUCGGUGUGGCUUCGUAAAUACUUACCAGCUUCCCAUGAAGACCUUGUCAUGAUUCAGGAGACAAAGAGCAGCUAUCGAGACACCAUCUUCGUUCUUGGUGAAAUAUUUGCAAACUGGACCAAGCCCGCAAAGCCGGUCGGCGCCGUCGGGAAGUGUACGGACGGAGCAAGUGAGGACGGAGUAAGCCGUAAGAAGACGGAGGAUACGGUCAAGCAUGACCGGAGCUUCGGGGUUUUUGGUCGGAAGAUGAGAAGAGAUCUCAGAUGCAGACAUGGGAGAACAGUUCCUGGCCAUGAUCUCUAGAAGAUCGAGCUCUAUAACUGAUUUUAAAGCCAUAGGGAGAACAGAGGCACUGGCUAACUGUAUGGCAAAGAGAGCAGUUUCGUCGUCGGUGACUUGCACUGGAGUUGACUGUGUCUGUGCCGUUGAGCCCAUUUUCGUGAAAUUUCUGAGAUUUUAGAAUGCUUUGUUUUUGGGUUUCGAU